CCUACGGGGGGCAGCAGUGGGGAAUAUUGCGCAAUGGGCGAAAGCCUGACGCAGCGACGCCGCGUGGGUGAAGGAGCGUUUCGGCGCGUAAAGCCCUAUCGGCAGGGAAGAAGGAGGACGGUACCUGACUAAGAAGCCCCGGCUAACUACGUGCCAGCAGCCGCGGUAAUACGUAGGGGGCAAGCGUCAUCCGGAUUUACUGGGCGUAAGGGGGGCGCAGACGGCAGCGCAAGCCAAGAGUGAAAGCCCGGGGCCCAACCACGGGACUGCCCUUGAAACUGCGCGGCUGGAGUGCGGGAGGGGCAGGCGGAAUUCCUGGUGUAGCGGUGAAAUGCGUAGAUAUCAGGAGGAACACCGGUGGCGAAGGCGGCCAGCUGGACUGCGACUGACGUUGAGGCGCGAAAGCGUGGGGAGCAAACAGGAUUAGAUACCCUAGUAGUC
rnacentral:rRNA from 1 species